UACAGAGGGGGCAAGCGUUGUUCGGAAUUACUGGGCGUAAAGGGCGCGUAGGCGGCCCGCUAAGUCGAACGUGAAAUCCCCAGGCUCAACCUGGGAACUGCGUCCGAUACUGGCAGGCUUGAAUCCGGGAGAGGGAUGUGGAAUUCCAGGUGUAGCGGUGAAAUGCGUAGAUAUCAGGAGGAAUACCGAUGGCGAAGGCAGGUCUCUGGGUUAACACUGACGCUCAUGCACGAAAGCGUGGGGAGCAAACAGG
rnacentral:rRNA from 1 species